rnacentral:rRNA from 1 species
GGAUUGCCCUAGUAACGGCGAGUGAAGCGGCAACAGCUCAAAUUUGAAAUCUGGCUCUCGGGCCCGAGUUGUAAUUUGUAGAGGAUACUUUUGAUGCGGUGCCUUCCGAGUUCCCUGGAACGGGACGCCAUAGAGGGUGAGAGCCCCGUCUGGUUGGAUGCCAAAUCUCUGUAAAGUUCCUUCAACGAGUCGAGUAGUUUGGGAAUGCUGCUCUAAAUGGGAGGUAUAUGUCUUCUAAAGCUAAAUACCGGCCAGAGACCGAUAGCGCACAAGUAGAGUGAUCGAAAGAUGAAAAGCACUUUGAAAAGAGAGUUAAAAAGUACGUGAAAUUGUUGAAAGGGAAGCGUUUAUGACCAGACUUGGGCUUGGUUAAUCAUCUGGGGUUCUCCCCAGUGCACUUUUCCAGUCCAGGCCAGCAUCAGUUUUCCCCGGGGGAUAAAGGCGGCGGGAAUGUGGCUCUCUUCGGGGAGUGUUAUAGCCCACCGUGUAAUACCCUGGGGGGGACUGAGGUUCGCGCAUCUGCAAGGAUGCUGGCGUAAUGGUCAUCAACGACCCGUCUUGAAACACGGACCAAGGAGUCGUCUUCGUAUGCGAGUGUUCGGGUGUCAAACCCCUACGCGUAAUGAAAGUGAACGCAGGUGAGAGCUUCGGCGCAUCAUCGACCGAUCCUGAUGUUCUCGGAUGGAUUUGAGUAAGAGCAUACGGGGCCGGACCCGAAAGAAGGUGAACUAUGCCUGUAUAGGGUGAAGCCAGAGGAAACUCUGGUGGAGGCUCGCAGCGGUUCUGACGUGCAAAUCGAUCGUCAAAUAUGGGCAUGGGGGCGAAAGACUAAUCGAACCUUCUAGUAGCUGGUUUCCGCCGAAGUUUCCCUCAGGAUAGCAGUGUUGAACUCAGUUUUAUGAGGUAAAGCGAAUGAUUAGGGACUCGGGGGCGCUAUUUAGCCUUCAUCCAUUCUCAAACUUUAAAUAUGUAAGAAGCUCUUGUUGCUUAA